AGUGAACGCUGGCGGUAGGCCUAACACAUGCAAGUCGAACGGCAGCACAGGAGAGCUUGCUCUCUGGGUGGCGAGUGGCGGACGGGUGAGGAAUACAUCGGAAUCUGCCCAGUCGUGGGGGAUAACGUAGGGAAACUUACGCUAAUACCGCAUACGACCUUCGGGUGAAAGAGGGGGAUCGCAAGACCUCUCGCGAUUGGAUGAGCCGAUGUCGGAUUAGCUAGUUGGCGGGGUAAUGGCCCACCAAGGCGACGAUCCGUAGCUGGUCUGAGAGGAUGAUUAGCCACACUGGAACUGAGACACGGUCCAGACUCCUACGGGAGGCAGCAGUGGGGAAUAUUGGACAAUGGGCGCAAGCCUGAUCCAGCCAUACCGCGUGGGUGAAGAAGGCCUUCGGGUUGUAAAGCCCUUUUGUUGGGAAAGAAAUCUUUCAGGCUAAUACCCUGGGAGGAUGACGGUACCCAAAGAAUAAGCACCGGCUAACUUCGUG
rnacentral:rRNA from 1 species